UACGGGGGGGGGCAAGCGUUGUUCGGAAUUACUGGGCGUAAAGCGCACGUAGGCGGCUUUGCAAGUUAGAGGUGAAAGCCCGGGGCUCAACUCCGGAAUUGCCUUUAAAACUGCAUCGCUAGAAUUGUGGAGAGGUAAGUGGAAUUCCGAGUGUAGAGGUGAAAUUCGUAGAUAUUCGGAAGAACACCAGUGGCGAAGGCGACUUACUGGACACAUAUUGACGCUGAGGUGCGAAAGCGUGGGGAGCAAACAGG
rnacentral:rRNA from 1 species